rnacentral:rRNA from 1 species
GACGGAGGAUGCAAGCGUUAUCCGGAAUGAUUGGGCGUAAAGCGUCCGCAGGUGGCAGUUCAAGUCUGCUGUCAAAGACCGGGGCUUAACUUCGGAAAGGCAGUGGAAACUGAACAGCUAGAGUAUGGUAGGGGCAGAGGGAAUUCCUGGUGUAGCGGUGAAAUGCGCAGAGAUCAGGAAGAACAUCGGUGGCGAAGGCGCUCUGCUGGACCAUAACUGACACUCAGGGACGAAAGCUAGGGGAGCGAAUGGG